rnacentral:tRNA from 1 species
GGAAAAAUAGUUUAAUGGUAAAACAUCACAUUUGUGAAAAUUGCGGGUUCGAGUCCCGCUUUUUUUA